ensembl:lncRNA
CAUUGUUUUGGGGUUCUAUUGUUUUGGGGUCCCGAAGCUUUGGGGUCUCAUUGUUUUGGGGUCCCAUUGUUAUGGGAUCAGAGUUUUGGUGUCCCAUUCUUUUGGGGUCCCGAAGUUUGGGGGUCCCGAAGUUUUGGGGUCACCGUUUUGGUGUCCCAUUCUUUUGGGAUCCCGAAGUUUUGGGGUUUCAUAAUUUUGGGGUCACAUUGUUUUGGGGUCACCGUUUUGGUGUCCCAUUCUUUUGGGGUCCCAUUGUUUUGGGGUCCCAUUGUUUUGGGCUCCCAUUCUUUUGGGGUCCCAUUGUUAUGGAGUCACAGAUUUGGGGUCCCAUUGUUUUGGGGUCCCGAAGUUUUGGGGUUUCAUAAUUUUGGGCUGCCACUCUUUUGGGGUCCCAUUGUUAUGGGGUCAUCGUUUUGGUGUCCCAUUCUUUUGGGGUCCCGAAGUUUUGAGGUCCCGUUGCUUUCGGGACACGUUGUUUUGGGGUCACAUUGUUUCGGGGUCCUGUUGUUAUGGGAUCACAGUUUUGGGGUCCCAUUCUUAUGGGGUCCCGAAGUUUUGGGGUCCCAUAAGUUUGGGGUCACGUUGUUUUGGGGUCACAUUGUUUUGGGGUCACCGUUUUGGUGUCCCAUUGUUAUGGGGUCCCAUUGUUAUGGGAUCACCGUUUUGGGGUUCCAUACUUUUGGGGUCCCGAAGUUUUGGGGUUUCGUAAUUUUGGGCUCCCAUUCUUUUGGGGUCCCAUUGUUAUGGAGUCACAGUUUUGGGGUCCCAUUCUUUUGGGGUCCUAUUGUUUUGGGGUCCCGAAGUUUUGGGGUCCCAUAAUUUUGGGGUCCCAGUUUUGGUGUACCGUCUUUUUAAGGUCCCAUUGCUUUGAGAUCCUGAAGUUUUGGGGUCCCAUAAUUUUGGGGUCCCAUUGUUUUGGGAUCCCAUAAUUUUGGGGUCCCUCUCUUUCGGUGCCCCAUUUUUUGGGAUCCCAAUUGUUUGGGACCACACAUUUUGGGGGUCCCUCUCUUUGGGGUUCCCACUUUUUAGGGUUUCCUCUUUUGGGGGGUUCCCCUCUUUGGAGUCCCACUUUUGGGGUCUCUCUCUUUGGGGUCCCACUUUUUGGGGGGGUUCCACUCUUUGGGGUCCCACUUUUGAGGUCCCACUUUUGGGGUUCCCCUCUUUGGGGUCCCUCUUUUUUGGGGGGGUUCCACUCUUUGGGUUCCACUUUUGGGGUCCCUCCCUUUGAAGUCCGACAUUUGGGGUCCCACUUUUGGGGUCUCUCUCUUUGGGGUCCCACUUUUGAGGUCCCACUUUUGGGGUCCCUCUCUUUGGGGUCCGUCUUUUUUGGGGGGGUUCCACUCUUUGGGUCCCACUUUUGGGGUCCCUCUCUUUGAGGUCCCACUUUUGAGGUCCCACUUUUGGGGUCCCAUUCUUUGGGGUCCCACUUUUUGGGGUCCCUCUCUUUGG